rnacentral:rRNA from 1 species
CCUACGGGAGGCAGCAGUGGGGAAUAUUGGACAAUGGGCGCAAGCCUGAUCCAGCAAUGCCGCGUGAGUGAUGAAGGCCUUAGGGUCGUAAAGCUCUUUUACCAGGGAUGAUAAUGACAGUACCUGGAGAAUAAGCUCCGGCUAACUCCGUGCCAGCAGCCGCGGUAAUACGGAGGGAGCUAGCGUUGUUCGGAAUUACUGGGCGUAAAGCGUACGUAGGCGGUUAUUCAAGUCAGAGGUGAAAGCCCGGGGCUCAACCCCGGAACGGCCUUUGAAACUAGGUAGCUAGAAUCUUGGAGAGGUCAGUGGAAUUCCGAGUGUAGAGGUGAAAUUCGUAGAUAUUCGGAAGAACACCAGUGGCGAAGGCGACUGACUGGACAAGUAUUGACGCUGAGGUACGAAAGCGUGGGGAGCAAACAGGAUUAGAUACCCUGGUAGUCCACGCCGUAAACGAUGAUAACUAGCUGUUCGGGCACUUGGUGCUUGAGUGGCGCAGCUAACGCAUUAAGUUAUCCGCCUGGGGAGUACGGUCGCAAGAUUAAAACUCAAAGAGUAUAGACGNGNGAGAGCGACCGAGCACACGGAGGUAGAG